rnacentral:rRNA from 1 species
GACGUAGGGCGCGAGCGUUGUCCGGAUUUAUUGGGCGUAAAGAGCUCGUAGGCGGCUCAUUGCGUCAACCGUGAAAACCAGCAGCUCAACUGUUGGCUUGCGGUUGAUACGGGUGGGCUGGAGUUCGGUAGGGGAGACUGGAAUUCCGGGUGUAGCGGUGAAAUGCGCAGAUAUCAGGAGGAACACCGGUGGCGAAGGCGGGUCUCUGGGCCGAUACUGACGCUGAGGAGCGAAAGCGUGGGGAGCGAACAGG